CUCUCUUUUUUGCAUGAGUCGUUUUGCUCUUAUCCAACCAGUUCGCGAUUCUUCCUGUUGGUCCUGUUACCAUGACUACUUCAUUAAAAUCAACGAGAGCAGUAUGUCCUGCCUGCAGUCCAUUGGAUAAAUGGGCUGUCUUAAUGUGCUGCUUUAAAAGCCGGCUGCUGGAUGGUAAUCGUGUGUGCCCUUGACCGUAAUGAAAUUGUGUUUGUGAACGCCAGGGAAAGAGAGAGCGCUUUUUUUUUUUUUUGCUUGUUUAGUUAGUUUUGUUCAUAGCGUUUAUUGCAGUUUGAUUGGAAAACGAAUUGUUCUACCCACGAAUGAAUUGACCAGCGGAAGAGUCGUGAUCCGUUUAUGACUGCUGUUUGUGCAGCUACCAGCUAAAGUAUUGACUUCAACAGGAUUAUCCUCAGCUUACUUUCCACACACCAUAUUCCCGGAAUGUUAGUGAACUGGUCUUCAGUGAAACAGUGUCUAGCUGUGCUCUACUCGGCAGCAGAUUCUGUACAACAUCAGAGAUGAGCACAGAAACAGAAACAACAUCCAGUGAGGAGGAUGCUGAUGUUGAUACACCUGUCUUCCAGCCCAGUCAAGGAGCUCCAGCAUCAAUUAGCUCUACUCCUGAUGCUGAUGUAACCAGGACUCUUUUCAAUGCUGCCCUAAUGGUGAGAAGUGCCCUGGAGAAUACUCCUGGCAUCAGUGCUCCAUGGCCACCUACAUGAUUUUACAGUGGAUUCUGCAAAGGCAGCUAUUCCCAUUUAACUGUACAACAUUCUUGCUUGGAUGGUAGGAGCAACAAAUGAACCCACGCUGGCAAAUUAUGUUGAUGUACCCAAUGAUGUGACUGUGAAGCUGGUGUCUCUCGGCCAAGAUAUUGUGUACCUCACUUCUAAAGGUCGAAAGCAGACACCAAAGUCCCUUGGGCUGACAACUCGUCAUCUCAAUGGAUCCUCCCAGUUGUUAUCUGUAGUCGGCAAAUUAGGGCAUUGUGCAUCAUGUGACACGGUUAUCAGGUAUGAUACAAGCCUUGCUGAGUUGCAGCUUUCUGAGGGUGCAGAGAAAAUCCCUCCAGGAUUCACAGAGAGUACUCCAACCAUUCUAGUUUGGGACACUAUUGACUUUGGUGAGGAAAAUCUAUCAGGUCGUGGCACAACGCACCACACCAAUCGAAUCAUGCUGCAAAAUAACACCCAGGGGUCUGCACAGACAACUGAUAGACAACCUCUGCAGAAGGGAAUUAGCUCCCUCAAACUUCCACUUGCUGUUCCCAUGGAACCAUACCUUCAGCAGAAGAAGGGACCUGGAAACCUGUGUCUAGAUCAGAACAUUCCAUUAACAAAUGACUACUACAAAUCAAAAGUUUCAUCAAUGCUUCAAAUAGAGAUGGCAUAUGUUGUUAUGAAGUUUGCGGCUGGUGAUUUGUGCACAUUGCCAGAGUGGACAGGAUUCUGUAGUUUAGUUCAGCAGAAGAAUAUUGUCUCAAAGUCCUACAGAGAUGGCUAAUGUAAAUACCAUUCUAAAUCGAAGUUUAGAGAUCGCUGAUCAACUUGAUUUGGAUCACAUUGUCCUGGUUUUCUAUCAAGCAAUAUACUUCAAGGCCCAGCAGAUCCGUUGGAAGGAGGAAAUUUUAACAAGACGUUUGGUGGUACGUCUUGGACAAUUUCACACCUGUAUGACAUUCCUCUGUGUAUUUGGUAAAAGAUUUGGUGAUGGAGGGCUUCGAGAUAUACUGAUGGAGUCUGCGGUGGUUGCUCAGGGAUCAAUCAAUGCAUUAUUGAGUGGCCAUCACUAUAAUCGCAGCAUGAGAGCACACAAACUCUUGAGGCAUUCUUUGCAUGUGGAGUUCGUCCGUACCAGCUAUGGAAAGGACACAGUGAAGCUUCUGCAUAUCAGACGAGAGGGGAAACACCAUUACAUUAAAGAAAUUCAGGUGGACGUUGAACUGUCUUUGAAAACAUGGAAAGACUACCUUGACGGUUAUAACUCAUCAUUCUUACUGACACCAUCAAAAACUCUGUCCACGCCUUAGCAAAACUUGUAUAAAUUGUAUUGGGCUUGUGAUCAUAACUGGAAUGUAAGCUGGGGUCAGCUGAAAAUGCUUAGCUUACAUUAAUUAGUCUCUUCAGAAUCAUAAAUGUGUUCUGGGUUUGCAGGCAGCACUGUAAUUAAAUCGCUGGCCCUUUGGUCCCAUUGCACUUGCAUUUCUCAAUUCAUGUAUUCUGUAAUUCUGCUAUGAUAGUAUCUUUAAGUUGUAUCAUAUCCCCGUGGAUAAACAAAAAAUAAUACACUAUUACCUCACUCUGCCUAUCUAACUAUACCAAGUCAUUUAGAACCUGCUGCUUCUAUUGCAUUCCAAGCCCUUCCAAAGCCCUUCCCAUACUACUAUUUUCACUGAGCUCUUUUUAGGCAGAUCCAGACUUUGGAAGAAUUCUCUGGGGACGUGUGUGACUACUUCUUGUCCUCUUUCAAACAUGUUACACGUGUGAAGGUUAACAUCGACAAGGCACAAUGGACACGUUUGGAGAAGAGCCCCCUGUGGUCCAUGGUGGAAUAAAAUACAUGAAAGUUCUGAAAAGCACCCAGAGCGGGUUUGAAGGCUUUGUCAAAGACCGGUUUACCACUCUACCUGAAGUACGGGACCGCUGCUUCUGCACGAUGGUGUACGCAAAAUGGCACUACAACAAACUGAGCAAUGUCACCUUCGAUGCAGUAUGGUAAUCUACACUUGCACAGAUGACUUACUUAAGAUAAGAAGGUUGUACCACAACUCGGUGACUGCUGCCAUCAAAUUAGCCCAAGGGGUCACCGGAAUCUUUAGAAAGUACAGCUUUAAUUAACUAAAUAUUAUUUAUUGUGUACCAGGAUCAUUUUGUGAGCUUGAAAAUAAUAUGUGGCCUUGUAAAUGAAUGCAUCACAAGGAGCAAAUGUAUGUAUUACUACUUCUUUUUAGACAAUAGUGUCAGUAUCAAUGAAGUUCUUAGGCAUUUCUGUGUUUGUUUUAGAAUUAAAAUGGAAUAUUUUGCAAAUAGCAGUCAUUUAGCAAAAUAAUUUCUUUUUUCAGUAGCCAAGGUUAAUGAAUUAAAUUUUGAAUAUUAAAGUAAUCCUUUUUUAAAGGAAUCCUUUUAGAAUCCAAUGUAUAAACAAAAAUGAAUAACGUCUGUAAUGAAUAUGUUUCAAGUUUUUAUAAUCUGUUUUUAGUGGCUUUUUAAGGACAGUGGAAACUCAAUUAGCCACAUAUGAACAUUUCCAUGUUAGUUCUUUAACAGUACUGGUUUGUUUUUACAUACAAAAAUGUUUUUAAAAAAUGUUUAAACUGAAUUAAAAACACUGAAGUAA